rfam:Ovis aries breed Texel chromosome 8, whole genome shotgun sequence.
GGGGGUGUAGCUCAGUGGUAGAGCAUGUGCUUUGCAUGCACAAGGCCCUGGGUUCAAUUCCUAGCACCUCCA